GUCAAGCACUAGGUGUAGGGGAGGGAAUUUGGCAGGAGUCUCAUUACUUGUAGCUGGACCUUUUUCCCAAGGCCACAAUCUACACAGGAAAGAGCUGGCUUGUGAAUCAAGAUCUCCUUGCUCAGGGUACACAACACAGUGUGAAGAGACAGAGGAACCCAUGGAGAUUCGGUGAGAAUUUAAACAGAACAUACUGAAGGCUGCACUGUCAACUGUGGAUGCAAAGCAGAUGAAAAAUGAGUACUGAAGCAGCAACUGAGCUAUGGAUUCAGAAUUGAUCUCUGAAGUGGCUAACACAGGCAGCAGCUAUAAGGGCUCAGUUGGCCCUCCCUUGAUCCCCCAUGCCCAGCUCUACUUCUGUAUGCAAGAUUUUACUGUUCACAGCACCUGGUUGCUGUUGAUACUAACUUGAACAGCUCUCUAAAGUACAUGAUGAAACAAGUCUUUGAAUGAAGAAUGUUGACUUCCUCUGCUUUCUGAAAAUGCAGCCAUUCUUUGUAUUUACCUUUAAAAUAGUGACAGCAAAAUUUGGAUUAUAAAGAAUGGUUGUUCUCUUC